CCUACGGGUGGCAGCAGUGGGGAAUAUUGGACAAUGGGGGGAACCCUGAUCCAGCGACGCCGCGUGAGUUCAGCCGUAUUUCGGUAUGUCACGCUCUCUCCGCCGUGCCGCCCCUGCCGGUCCCUGACUAAGAAGCCCCGGCUAACUACGUGCCAGCAGCCGCGGUCAUACGUAGGGGGCACGCGUUAUCCGGCUUUCCUGGGUGUACCGGGAGCGUCGCCGGUGCAGCAAGUCUGAUGUGCCCGGUCGGGGCCCAACCCCGGGACUGCAUUGGACACUGUUGAACUGGAGUACAGGAGAGGUAAGCGGAAUUCCUAGUGUAGCGGUGAAAUGCGUAGAUAUUAGGAGGAACACCAGUGGCGAAGGCGGCUUACUGGACUGUAACUGACGUUGAGGCUCGAAAGCGUGGGGAGCAAACAGGAUUAGAUACCCUUGUAGUC
rnacentral:rRNA from 1 species